AAACAUGUUUCGGGAAGCGGCAAACACGAAUCGGUUAAUGAAUCGGGCUGGUUAAUGAAAGCGGAGCACAAGAUAAAAAUUAUGUUUUGGAUGUUAUUUUUUUAUUUUAGUGUUGUAAUCGGUUUUUUUAAAUUCCAUCAAUUUUUAUCUUAAGUAAUUUAGGCCAUUUCUAUAAAUCUUCUAUCAUUUUUUUAGCGUCCAUAAAAAGACAUUUUGACAUAAAAAGACAACGAAAUUUCAGUGAAAUGAAAGUAAACAUGAACCUUAACAAAGAGCGAAACUUGCUUCCGUCUAAAAGCGCUUUUACAGUAGAUAAGAUAAGGCCGAGCAGAGCUGUGUAACAUGUGUGGGUACUCCACUCAUUUCUAUAAAUAUUGCUGCAGAGUACAGUUCGUUGAUAAGAACGAGCAUCCACCGAAAUACCAUCCAGCAAUAAAGUGAAAAGUGUUUACAGUCACUAGAUAACAAAUCUAUGUUGGUGUAAAUCGGUACACUGCCGCUUAGCUGGUGAUAAUUUUUACCAAGAGUUUGUUAUUCAUCAAUUUUGCGUGCCUGGAAAAUCAUUUCAUCCGAAACCUCAAACAACCCACCCGUGGAAGCUAACAGUAGGAGAAACAAUUUCCUGUGUUAAGUCAGUGUUUUCAUUCUUUUUUGAAGAUUCUAACUUACGUGAAAUGAAUCUGGACAAGGAAAUUCAACAUUUUCACAAUGAAAAUACGAUACAGCAUAGCAAGAGUAAAUCAGUAGAGCAGACUCCUACAUCAAUGGAGAGGUUAAAGACUCCAGUCGUAGGAACGACGCAUGGAACAUCGUAUUCUUUGCUGAUAGCAAUGCUGACUGCGGCUAACAAAUAUGAAUAUACUUAACAUGGCAGCCGUUGAAGGAUAAGCCACAUGAGCAGCCAAAAGAGAACCCCAGAGAGAUAAGCAAACAGGAGAAAGACGAAUAACCGAAUUACACACGGCACUAACACUCGAAAAGAGCGAGAAAGAAAGACGCUUAGAUUUUUUCCGCAGUGUUUGCAACCAACAUUUACAAGAAAUAAACUGAUUCAUCGAUAUA